GACCGAGUCUCGUUCUGUCACCCAGGCUGGAGUGCAGUGGCACGAUCUCAGCUCAUUGCAACCUCCACCUCCCGGGUUCAAGCGAUUCUCCUGCCUCAACCUCCCGAGUACCUGGGACUACAGGCACACGCCACCAUGCCUGGGUUUGGGACAGGUGGCUGCUACCAACAGCUCUCAAGGUGGCCCCACAGACCUGAGCCAACCACUUCUCCUCAGCCCUCCCCUGCCCAUGAAGACUGCUCAGAGGGGCCCCAUUGAGAGCUGGAUCUGGGACUUUGUUUAAACUGCAAGGAGAGAAGCUCUGUCACCCUGCAGGGCGUGAAGUUCAGCUGAAGCCAUUGAGAUCAUGGCCUGGGAGCCUAUCUAGCAGGAGGCUACCACACGGAGGGCCCUGACGGUGUGAGUUCGGCCUCUGGAUCCCACCACACUGAAGCACUCCAGAGACUCCCUUCUCUCUAAACCCACCAGUUCUGCUCCCUGGACCCCUGACCCAGCCGUGCUGCUUUCAAAGAUCUGUCUUCCACUGCCUCCCAAAGCCAGAUCGCAGGAGAAGCUGGUGGUCUCGCAUCUGCCUGAAUUCUGACAGCGGCCCACGAGAGUCGGUGAUGAUGGCAGGUCUGCCCAAGUGGUGGGCCGGCUUGGCCCCCUCAUCUCAAAGUGAGCCAUGUUUUGCUCCCAGACCUUCCUCCUAGUCUGCCAGACCACCUCUUCUAGCCAUGCAGUCAAGCCCAGAUUAGGAAUUAGCCCCAUCCAGCCCCUCUCCCACAUACAACCUCCAAAUAUAUCCACAUCCCAAUCCCUAGAACCCAAGAUUAGACCUUAUAUGGCAAAAGUGACUUUGAAGAUGUGAUUCAAUUUUUUGAGAUGGGGAGAUUAUCCUGGACCAUCCAGGUGGACCCACUAUGCCCCCAAAAUUCACGUGUUGAAAGCUAAUCACCAAUGUGAUAGCGUUAGCAGGUGGGGCCUUUGGGAUGUGGUUAGGUCAUGAGGGUAGAGCCCUCAUGAAUGGGAUUAGUGCCCUAUAAAAGAGACCCCAGAAGCCAGGCAUAGUGGGCUGCACCUACAGUCCCAGCUACUGAGGAGGCUGAGGCAGGAAGAUCUCUUGGGUACAGGAGUGAGCUAUGAUCACGCCAUUGUACUCCAGCCUUGGUGACAGAGUGAGACCCUGUCUCUAAAGUAAUUAAAUAAAAGAGACCCCAGAGAGCUAGCUAGCUUCUUCCACUAUGUCAGUUAGAAGGUGCCAUGUAUGAGGACAUGGGCCCUCACAGGACAUCAAAUCUGCCAGUACCUUGAUCUUGGACUUCCCAGCCUCCAGAGCUGUGAGCAAUAAAUUUCUGGAAAAU
rnacentral:lncRNA from 10 species